CAGCCGCCACGGUAAUACGUAGGUGGCAAGCGUUGUCCGGAAUUAUUGGGCGUAAAGGGCUCGCAGGCGGCUUCUUAAGUCUGAUGUGAAAGCCCCCGGCUCAACCGGGAAGGGUCAUUGGAAACUGGGAAACUUGAGUGCAGAAGAGGAGAGUGGAAUUCCACGUGUAGCGGUGAAAUGCGUAGAGAUGUGGAGGAACACCAGUGGCGAAGGCGACUCUCUGGUCUGUAACUGACGCUGAGGAGCGAAAGCGUGGGGAGCGAACAGGAUUAGAUACCCCAGUAGUCCCUGUCUCUUAUAC
rnacentral:rRNA from 1 species